ensembl:lncRNA
CAAGAUUUUUGCCUUAAUUUUUUUACUGUUGAAAAUGCUCACUAACAUGCAGCCUAUACUUUACUCACUGUCUCCCUUUGCUCUUACCUUAGCCAUUUGGACUUAAAAAUCAAGCAGGUUUAAAUCGGCUGCAUGGAGUGCUAGAUAAAGCCAUACACAUCAUGACAAAUAAGAGAAGUGUUGGGACACACGGUGAACUGAGAGCCAGUGGACAACACCACCUCAUGUAGUUUGAUUCAUUUCUGAAGAAGAUUUGAAGCACGACCGGUGAAUAAUAUGGAUUGACUUAUCUGCUGCUCCUUGGGAGAACCGUCUUUUAUUACUCUUUAU